GCAAGUCGAACGGUAGAAGGGGGCAACCCCUUGAGAGUGGCGAACGGGUGAGUAAUAUAUCGGAACGUGCCCAGUCGUGGGGGAUAACGUAGCGAAAGUUACGCUAAUACCGCAUACGAUCUAAGGAUGAAAGCGGGGGAUCGCAAGACCUCGCGCGACUGGAGCGGCCGAUAUCAGAUUAGGUAGUUGGUAGGGUAAAGGCCUACCAAGCCAACGAUCUGUAGCUGGUCUGAGAGGACGACCAGCCACACUGGAACUGAGACACGGUCCAGACUCCUACGGGAGGCAGCAGUGGGGAAUUUUGGACAAUGGGCGAAAGCCUGAUCCAGCCAUUCCGCGUGCAGGAUGAAGGCCCUCGGGUUGUAAACUGCUUUUGUACAGAACGAAAAGGUUUCUAUUAAUACUAGGAGCUCAUGACGGUACUGUAAGAAUAAGCACCGGCUAACUACGUGCCAGCAGCCGCGGUAAUACGUAGGGUGCAAGCGUUAAUCGGAAUUACUGGGCGUAAAGCGUGCGCAGGCGGUUAUAUAAGUCAGAUGUGAAAUCCCCGGGCUCAACCUGGGAACUGCAUUUGAGACUGUAUAGCUAGAGUACGGUAGAGGGGGAUGGAAUUCCGCGUGUAGCAGUGAAAUGCGUAGAUAUGCGGAGGAACACCGAUGGCGAAGGCAAUCCCCUGGACCUGUACUGACGCUCAUGCACGAAAGCGUGGGGAGCAAACAGGAUUAGAUACCCUGGUAGUCCACGCCCUAAACGAUGUCAACUGGUUGUUGGGUCUUAACUGACUCAGUAACGAAGCUAACGCGUGAAGUUGACCGCCUGGGGAGUACGGCCGCAAGGU
rnacentral:rRNA from 1 species